GGAAAAGUCUUCAACAAUCACCCUGUCUCCCAAAAGAUGUACCAGGAGCACAAACAUUGGGCCCUUUUGAAGUAAAGACAGUGGCUAACCUUAAAAGAUGGCUCCAGUGCCAAAGUGCCUCU